rnacentral:rRNA from 1 species
UACGAAGGGGGCUAGCGUUGCUCGGAAUCACUGGGCGUAAAGGGUGCGUAGGCGGGUCUUUAAGUCAGGGGUGAAAUCCUGGAGCUCAACCACAGAAUUGCCUUCGAUACUGUUUGGCUUGAGUAUGGUAGAGGUCAGUGGAACUGCGAGUGUAGAGGUGAAAUUCGUAGAUAUUCGCAAGAACACCAGUGGCGAAGGCGGCUGACUGGACCAUUACUGACGCUGAGGCGCGAAAGCGUGGGGAGCAAACAGGG